CUUUCAAUUACUUGGACUGGUUGCUUGUCCUGUCUAAGAGAUUGCUCGAAGAAGAACUCAUAACCGCUUCUUCCAAGGCCUGCAAAACCAAAGGAACCAAACACAGAGCAUAAACACAAAUGUUUUAUGCAAAAGACAUAGUUUCAACACAGUUAUUUAAUCAUAGAAAGUUACCACAUCUUUCUUGUUUUCUUUCACUUCCUUGGCAUGGUUGCUUGUCCUGUCUACAAGAUUGCUCGAAAAAGAACUCAUAACCGCUUCUUCCGUGGCCUGCAAAACCAAAGGAACCAAACACAGAGCAUAAACACAAAUGCUUUAUGCAAAAAACAUAGCUUCAACACAGUUAUUUAAUCAUAGAAAGUUACCGCAUCUUUCUUGUUUUCUUUCACUUUCUUGGCCUGGUUGUUUGUCCUGUCUACAAGAUUGAUCGAAUAAGAACUCAUAACCGCUUCUUCCGUGGCCUGCAAAACCAAAGGAACCAAACACAGAGCAUAAACACAAAUGCUUUAUGCAAAAAACAUAGCUUCAACACAGUUAUUUAAUCAUAGAAAGUUACCGCAUCUUUCUUGUUUUCUUUCACUUACUUGGCCUGGUUGCUUGUCCUGUCUACAAGAUUGCUCGAAAAAGAACUCAUAACCGCUUCUUCCGUGGCCUGCAAAACCAAAGGAACCAAACACAGAGCAUAAACACAAAUGCUUUAUGCAAAAAACAUAGCUUCAACACAAUUAUUUAAUCAUAGAAAGUUACCGCAUCUUUCUUGUUUUCUUUCACUUCAUAACCGCUUCUUCUGUGGCCUGCAAAACCAAAGAAACCAAACACAGAGCAUAAACACAAAUGCUUUAUGCAAAAAACAUAGCUUCAACACAAUUAUUUAAUCAUAGAAAGUUACCGCAUCUUUCUUGUUUUCUUUCACUUCAUAACCGCUUCUUCUGUGGCCUGCAAAACCAAAGAAACCAAACACAGAGCAUAAACACAAUUUUUUUAUGCAAAAAACAUAGCUUCAAAACGGUUAUUUAAUCAUAGAAAGUUACCGCAUCUUUCUUGUUUUCUUUCACUUCCUUGGCCUGAUUGUUUGUCCUGUGUACAAGAUUGCUCGAAGAAGAACUCAUAACCGCUUCUUUCGUGGCCUGCAAAACCAAAGGAACCAAACACAGAACAUAAACACAAAUGUUUUAUGCAAAAAACAUAGCUUCAACACAGUUAUUUAAUCAUAGAAAGUUACCGCAUCUUUCUUGUUUUCUUUCACUUCAUAACCGCUUCUUUCGUGGCCUGCAAAACAAAGGAACCAAACACAAAGCAUAAACACAAAUGUUUUAUGCAAGAAACAUAGCUUCAACACAGUUAUUUAAUCAUAGAAAGUUACCGCAUCUUUCUUGUUUUCUUUCACUUCCUUGGCCUGGUUGCUUGUCCUGUCUACAUGAUUGCUCGAAGAAGAACUCAUAACCGCUUCUUCUGUGGCCUGCAAAACCAAAGGAAUCAAACACAGAACAUAAACACAAAUGUUUUAUGCAAAAAACAUAGCUUCAACACAGUUAUUUAAUCAUAGAAAGUUACCACAUCUUUCUUGUUUUCUUUCACUUCAUAACCGCUUCUUCUGUGGCCUGCAAAACCAAAAGAACCAAACACAGAGCAUAAACACAAAUGUUUUAUGCAAAAAAACAUAGCUUCAACACAGUUAUUUAAUCAUAGAAAGUUACCGCAUCUUUCUUGUUUUCUUUCACUUCCUUCGCCUGGUUGCUUGUCCUGUCUACAAGAUUGCUCGAAGAAGAACUCAUAACCGCUUCUUCCGUGGCCUGUAAAACCAAAGGAACCAAACACAGAGCAUAAACACAAAUGUUUUAUGCAAAAAAACAUAGCUUCAACACAGUUAUUUAAUCAUAGAAAGUUACCGU
rnacentral:lncRNA from 1 species